rnacentral:rRNA from 1 species
GCCAGCAGCCAUAUCAACCUGCAUCUCACAACUGGCAAACCACUGAAGUUAAGCAGGUGUGAGACUGGUCAGUACCAGGAUGGGAGACCUCUUGGGGAAAAAAAACAGGUUGCUGCUGGAA